rnacentral:rRNA from 1 species
UCCGAAGGGGGCUAGCGUUGCUCGGAAUCACUGGGCGUAAAGCGCACGUAGGCGGCUUUCUAAGUCAGGGGUGAAAUCCUGGAGCUCAACUCCAGAACUGCCUUUGAUACUGGAGAGCUUGAGUCCGGGAGAGGUGAGUGGAACUCCGAGUGUAGAGGUGAAAUUCGUAGAUAUUCGGAAGAACACCAGUGGCGAAGGCGGCUCACUGGCCCGGUACUGACGCUGAGGUGCGAAAGCGUGGGGAGCAAACAGG